rnacentral:rRNA from 1 species
AACGUAGGGGGCGAGCGUUGUUCGGAAUUACUGGGCGUAAAGGGCUCGUAGGCGGCCAACUAAGUCAGACGUGAAAUCCCUCGGCUUAACCGGGGAACUGCGUCUGAUACUGGAUGGCUUGAGUUCGGGAGAGGGAUGCGGAAUUCCAGGUGUAGCGGUGAAAUGCGUAGAUAUCUGGAGGAACACCGGUGGCGAAGGCGGCAUCCUGGACCGACACUGACGCUGAGGAGCGAAAGCCAGGGGAGCAAACGGG